GCAGAGUUGAGUCAGCCUAGACCCGCGCGCAGUGCGAGCGGACCCCCGUCACUGGCUGUCUUCUGUUUUCUCAACCAACACCACCUGCAGCAGCUGACAAUGACCCUUGGGCUUUCCCAGUGGAUACCACAACACCAUUUCCUGCCACCUGGAGGGAAGACAGAAUAGUUGUUGGCAGCCACGGAGGAGUGUGGGUCAGACUGGAACCUGGAAACAGUGCCGGCAUGUUGGUGGUUCAAAGGAGGAGACCUGAGCAUCCACCUUAAGACGAAGACCGCCCCCUCCAACUUAGCGGGGGUGAAUUUUGUUCCCCACGCAGGUCCUCAGAUGCUCUCUCAGACACCCCCUUGGUGCUAGGCUUGCUCUCUAGGCCUGCUAGAUGGGUACCCCCCACUCUAACCCAACAUCCCCAGUGACUAGCACCCCUGCCGCCUGCCUCCUAUGUCCACCCGCAUGGCAGGACCCCUACAGAAG